UACGAAGGUGGCAAGCGUUACUCGGAAUUACUAGGCGUAAAGGGCAGGUAGGUGGUUCGGUAAGUCUGUUGUGUAAGCUCCCGGCUUAACUGGGAGAGGUCAACAGAAACUACCGGACUUGAGUAUAGGAGAGGGUACUGGAAUUCCCGGUGUAGCGGUGAAAUGCGCAGAUAUCAGGAGGAACACCAAUGGCGAAGGCAGCUCGCUGGAACGGUACUGACGCUGAGGCGCGAAAGCGUGGGGAGCGAACAGG
rnacentral:rRNA from 1 species